CCAGAUCCCACCUUUGGAAAAGCGGCGUAAAUUCGUCUUUUCCGAGUAGUUCAGAUCCCUACAAUUCAAGAGGAGGUCACUUUUAUGCAAGCAGAACAGCAAGAGGAAAAUACAACUUACCUCCUCCCUUCUGGGACUGGCAGGAGACUUGACAGGAGCAGCAGGCUAUCUCACAGACCUCCUCCAAAUGCAUUAUUAAUCUCAGGCACACAGACCUGCUAAUGAGCAGCCCGGUAAGAAGAGAUACCUAACUCCUUGGUGAGACUAAGAACGGGGCAAUAAGGCACCACCACUCCUGAGGAACAGCUUCCCCAGCUUACAGCCAUCAUCAGGUCGCUCUGUUUGGCAGUUCUCAUACAGCCAAAUGGAAUAACAAGGAAUAGGAUUUAAGCAAGAUGUUGUUUAGUAAAUAUUUGUAAGAUACCAUAGUAGCAAGCAUGAUAUGUUUCUGUGUAAUGGCUAGCAGUUAUUCUCAAAUAACCAAAUAGCUAAUACCUCUAUCCUCAAAUAGUUUCCUUAUUGCAGCACCUCACGAAUUAAACCCAAAGCUGCUUGCAAUAACCUUUUGUUUAGGCAUUACUUGGACUUCUAAAAAGAAAAGUAAUCUACUUGAAAAUAAGUAAUAAUAUACAGAUGUCUGUGACAAGACGUAAACUAUGAUUUAAGACCAAGCCUGGGGCAUAUUUCACAUUGGCUCUAAGCUUGUGUGUUCAUGCCAUGUUGGUUCUGCUCUUUAUCAUCGUACAUGUACAGCUUCAAACCCCUUAUGAAAACCAUUCUUUCUGAACAG
ensembl:lncRNA